CCCCUAGAUGUUCUGGGCCGCACGCGCGCUACACUGAACAGUUCAACAAGUCUUAACCUUGGCCGAUAGGUCUGGGUAAUCUUUGAACGCUGUUCGUGAUUGGGAUAGACCUUUGCAAUUAUGGGUCUUCAACGAGGAAUUCCUAGUAAACGCAAGUCAUCAGCUUGCAUUGAUUACGUCCCUGCCCUUUGUACACACCGCCCGUCUCACCUACCGAUUGAAUGGUCCGGUGAAAUCUCGGGACGGCGGCUUGGUCGCUUGCGUCCGACUGCUGAAACUUGAUUAAACCAUNUNAUUUAGNGGAAGGUGAANUCGUANCA
rnacentral:rRNA from 1 species